CACCUGGGGGACAGGGUGGGGGGCCCCGCAGGGAGGCUCCAGGUGAGAAUCGGUGCCUCUGCCGGGUUCACAAGGAGCCGAGAGGCCGUUGUGACCCCGAUGUCCCUGCCGGGGGUGGGGCGCUGGCGGAGUCUGAGCCCAGCUGACGGGGAGGUUGUGAGCUGGGUUUGUCAGGUGCCCCCGGGGCCCAUCCCAGCAGCCGCUGCGCGGCGCCGGGGGAGCUCAGGGAUGUUCUUGGGUUUCUCCAGGACGUCGGGAGACGGGAGGCAGAAGCGGCGAGACCCCAGGCUGCCCUGGAUCGGGAGACGAUGAUGCUGGAGCUGGUCGGGGCGCUGGCCCGGAGCAGGGAGCUGAGGGGUCAGGCCCAGGCCCUGGCGGCCUCCCUGGAGCAACGCAGUGCGGCCAGCCGGGCGCAGCAGGCCCAGUGCGUCGGGAUCACCAGAGACUUCUUCCAGGCUCACAGCGCCCUGGUGCUGGCCUACAGGAAUGCCAGGAGGAAGCAGGAGGCUCAGCUGCGGAGGCUGGAGGCCCAGAUGGGCGCGAUGGGCGAGCGGCACGGGGAGCAGCUGCGCUCGCUCACGCAGGCCGUGCAAAGGCUGGAAGAGCGGCGCGUGGCCGCGGCCGGCAGCGAGACCUGCAUCUAGGGCAGAGCCACGGCGGGCAGUGGGGGUGGCCGAGUCCCUCCCAUGGGCGUGCAGGGGGAGACCAGCUGGCAGGGCCCAGGGUCGCCUCUCCAAUCCAUGGGGAGCUGGGAGCAGGGGGUCUUCUGUUGGUUGAGUUUAUUGCUCAUAAAUCACAACCCGCGGCCCCCGGCUAGCCCAGCUCUGGGCUCCCCACACACAGCUGUGCCGAUGCCCCCCGGCCUGUCCUGGUUUCCCACAUACAGAGAGCUGCUGCUGCCACUGGGCCAAGCGUUGGGGGGAGGUUAGCGCUUGGGAGGUUUAUUCUCGGUGCAGAUCGGGA
rnacentral:lncRNA from 1 species